GGAAGGAUCUUAGCUCAGUGGGAGAGCAUCUGCUUAGCAUGCACAAGGGCCCAGAAUCAAUCCCUGGAAUUUCCA